UUGGUGAUGUUGAAGAAAUUGUUACCACUGUUGAAAUUGAUGAUGAGACAUAUGAAGAAAUUGUUAGGUUUCAACAGAAAUCAAGUGAAGCUUUAAAGGAUGAUCCUACAAGCUCACUCUUGAUACCUUGCAUCUUAGGAGAUGAGAUAUAUUUGGCAAUGAAGAAAAUAAUAGGUCUUGUGUCCUCCUGAUACAUACAUAAGUAAUUAGGCUUGUUCCAUACCAUAAAUCUAUGGUUUUUAUGCUAAGAUUGAAUAGCACUUGAAAAUAGCUAGGCUUUAUCUUGCUGGUUUCAUGUUUCUAAUAUGUUAGCUUGAAAUGCCCCACAUUUUUUAUUCAUGUAUAUGUGUAACUAACUUCCGUUA